rnacentral:rRNA from 1 species
AUGCACCUACGGGACGCAGCAGCGAGGAAUAUUGGUCAAUGGGCUUACGCCUGAACCAGCCAAGUCGCGUGAGGGAAGACUGCCCUAUGGGUUGUAACCCUCUUUUGUCAGGGAGCAAUUGGCGCUACGUGUAGCGUUAUCGAGAGUACCUGAAGAAAAAGCAUCGGCUAAUUCCGUGCCAGCAGCCGCGGUAAUACGGAGGAUGCGAGCGUUAUCCGGAUUUAUUGGGUUUAAAGGGUGCGUAGGCGGAAUGCCAAGUCAGCGGUAAAAUCGCGGGGCUCAACCUCGCUCCGCCGUUGAAACUG